GCGCGCCUCCGCGCCCGCGCUCGCGCUCGCUCACAAGGCCCCUGUCCGCGGUGCUGGCGGUUUUCGUUCUGAGCUGCGUCCCUGAACGCCCGACACUUGUGAAGAUGGCGGCUCGGGUUGUAAUAUUUUUCAAGACGAUGCAAGCGGCACGAUGCCCAACAGACGAACUCUCGUUGACGAACUGUGCUGUGGUAAAUGAAAAGGACCUGCAGUCUGGACAACAUGUGACUGUGAAAACCACGCCUACCCACAAGUUUGUCUUCACUGUAAAGUGCCACCACAGCGUGGUGCCAGGUACCAUCGCCUUCAGCUUGCCGCAGAGGAAGUGGGCUGGCCUCUCAAUUGGGCAAGAAGUGGAAGUCUCCAACUACAACUUCGACAAGUCCAAGCAGUGCGUCGGGGCGAUGACCAUGGAGAUCGAUUUCCUGCAGAAGAAGAGCACCGACAGCAACCCUUUUGACUCGGACAAGAUGGCCGGCGAGUUCAUCCAGCAGUUCAACAACCAGGGUUUCACUGUUGGUCAGCAGCUGGUCUUCAGCUUCUGUGACAAACUGUUUGGCCUACUGGUAAAGGAUAUUGAGGCCAUGGACCCCAGCAUCCUCAAAGGAGAGCCGGCCUCUGGCAAAAAGCAGAAGAUUGAAAUCGGUCUUCUGGUGGGCAACAGCCAGGUCAUUUUUGAAAAGGCGGAGAGUUCUUCCCUCAACCUAGUGGGAAAGGCCAAAACCAAAGAAGCCCGCCAGACCAUCAUCAACCCUGACUGGAACUUCGAGCGUAUGGGAAUCGGCGGUCUGGACAAGGAGUUCUCAGAUAUCUUCCGGAGGGCUUUUGCUUCCCGGGUCUUCCCUCCUGAUAUAGUAGAGCAAAUGGGCUGUAAACAUGUCAAAGGAAUCCUGCUGUACGGACCCCCUGGCUGUGGCAAGACCCUGAUGGCCCGGCAGAUCGGCAAAAUGCUCAACGCCCGCGAGCCCAAGAUUGUUAACGGGCCUGAGAUCCUCAACAAAUACGUUGGAGAGUCAGAGGCGAACAUUCGCAAGCUGUUCGCCGAAGCCGAGGAAGAGCAGAAGCGGCUGGGUGCUAACAGUGGUUUGCACAUCAUAAUUUUUGAUGAGCUGGAUGCCAUCUGUAAACAACGUGGCACCGGGGCCAGCAGUACAGGCGUCCACGACACGGUGGUCAACCAGCUGUUGUCCAAGAUCGAUGGUGUUGAGCAGCUUAACAACAUUCUGGUCAUAGGAAUGACCAACAGGCCAGACUUGAUUGAUGAGGCCCUCAUGAGACCUGGCAGAUUUGAGGUGAAGAUGGAGAUUGGCCUACCAGAUGAGAAAGGCCGGUUGCAGAUUCUGAACAUCCACACGGCCAAAAUGCGGGAAUUUAACCUUCUGUCGAGUGACGUGGACCUGUCCGAGUUGGCGGCCGAGACCAAGAACUACAGCGGUGCUGAGCUGGAGGGGCUUGUCCGGGCCGCCCAGUCUACCGCCAUGAACCGCCAUAUCAAGGCUAGUACCACAGUAGAAGUGGACAUGGAGAAAGCUGAGAAACUACAGGUCCAUCGUGCAGACUUCCUAGGAUCUCUCAACAAUGACAUCAAGCCUGCCUUUGGUACCAACCAGGAAGACUAUUCCAGCUACAUCAUGAAUGGGAUCAUUAAAUGGGGUGACCCUGUGACCCGGGUCUUGGAUGACGGGGAGCUGCUGGUUCAGCAGACCAAGAACAGUGACCGUACUCCCCUGGUCUCUGUGUUGCUUGAAGGACCACCGCACAGUGGAAAAACAGCACUGGCUGCCAAAAUCUCUGAGGAUUCACAGUUCCCCUUCAUCAAGAUCUGCUCUCCAGACAAGAUGAUUGGCCACUCUGAGAUCUCGAAGUGCCAGGCUAUUAAGAAGGUCUUUGACGAUGCCUACAAGUCUCAGCUAAGCUGUGUGGUCGUGGAUGACAUUGAGCGUCUGCUUGACUACGUUCCCAUAGGGCCACGUUUCUCCAACCUGGUCCUGCAGGCCCUGCUUGUACUGUUGAAGAAGCCCCCACCAAAGUCUAACUGGUACGGUGUGGUUCAACUUUUAGGGCCGCAAGCUGCUCAUCAUUGGAACUACCAGUCGCAAGGAUGUCCUACAAGAGAUGGAGAUGCUGGAUGCUUUCAGCACCACCAUCCACAUCCCCAACAUCUCUACUGGGGAGCAUCUGGUUGAAGCUCUGGAGCUGCUGGGCAGCUUUACGGACAAAGAGCGAGCAACCAUUGCCCAGCAGGUCAAGGGCAAGAGAGUUUGGAUCGGAAUAAAGAAGCUGCUCAUGCUCAUUGAGAUGUCCCUUCAGAUGGACCAAGAGUAUCGAGUCAGCAAGUUCCUGUCACUGCUCAGGGAUGAGGGCGCAGAUCGCAGCGUCUAUCAGUAGAUCCAGUGCACCUGUCUGGACCUGGGAAAUGGAGCUGUGGAGGUGCCUCCCCCCAGCGGAGCCAGACGGACAGGAGAUCAGCCCAAGUGUCACCCUCCUCCUGCUCUGCAUGUUUCCCAUGGCGACGACCACCUCCCCCCUUAGUGUAUCUGCGUAUCUAUUAUUGAAUAAAUGAAUCUUUGUCUUGUGCAUUACUGCAGUUUCAGUGAUAAAUACUGUGAAAUGUGCUCUGUGCUGGUAGAAUUGUGUCCCGUUUCUGUUGCCGUAUAUUUGUAUAUAUAGCAACCAGCCCGUACACAUUUAAUGUAUUUUCCAUUUGUGCACAGUGAAGUGUGUGUAUAUAAAGUGUUGUGUUUAGCAUACAUAUCCAUAUCUUUCAUUAUUUAAUAUAUUUUGUACAUAGUAUGUAUAAUAUAUAAAUGCAUAGACUAAAAUAAUUAUAUGGUGAAGAUACUGUAAUUUUAAUUUCUAUUUGACCUCAUGUUACAAAGUUUGUGUUUGAAUUGAUUUGAUUUGGAUUUUGUGAAAGAGUGCUAUUCAGUGUAUAGCUGCUGUGAGUCUGGUUGAUGCCAUAGGUGUGAGCCGGGCAGUUUCCACCUGUAAAGUCAGGUGUAUAUGGUAGUAACAGGAAAUACACACCUCCUCCCCUUCAGGUGGAAUUUUAUGUACGUGGCGCUGUAUGUUGGCGUGCAAGUGGAAUGAAUGCAGUGAAAUGAAAAAAAUUCGAUUGUCUCAGUGCAAGUAGUGCAGGAAUAUCACUGACAGCUCGGUGGAAGACGGGGGCAAUAACACGGUUUUCUUCUGCCUGCCACAACCUGUAUAAAGUGACCUUUCGUACAAGAGUGGGGGGAAAAGAGUCACAAGAGCUCUAUAUACUUGUAUGGUGCCUGACUCAAACGCUUGUGGCGGUGAGAAAGGGCUAUGCUUUAUCUGGCAGUGAUCGAUUCGCUCUGAAAAUCGAACGGGCAAACACGUUGAAACGUAUUUGUUUUUCUCGGUCUAACAGUAUGCACUGUGCUGGCAGCACCGGCAAUCAGACAAAGGGCAUCGGCAGAGGUGUGAUCUGGGUCUCUCCUGUUUGAACAACCACCUGCUUUUUCUUCACCGAUAAGCCAGUUAAUGUUUUCAUCUCCUGCGCUUUAAUUCUUGUGUUCAAAUUCCCACAUUUUACCAUCACUAAAUUUAACUUUCUCUCCCCGUUUGGUUUCUACACACAGUUCAGAACAGUGUUGUCUCUGUCUGCUGGUUCUAGCAGGAAAGAACACAUUCAGGCUAAAGCUCAUCUGUCAGUCUGAAGUGUGUUUUACUGUGAACAUGUGCUUGUUGUCCCAUGUUCUUUGUUAUGGUUGUUAUGAUAAUGUGGCAACAUGCAGAUGUACUAUUGCAAUAAAGCACAGACUCCUUCAA